GCUAAUACAUGCAGUCGAACGCUUCUUUUUCCACCGGAGCUUGCUCCACCGGAAAAAGAGGAGUGGCGAACGGGUGAGUAACACGUGGGUAACCUGCCCAUCAGAAGGGGAUAACACUUGGAAACAGGUGCUAAUACCGUAUAACAAUCGAAACCGCAUGGUUUUGAUUUGAAAGGCGCUUUCGGGUGUCGCUGAUGGAUGGACCCGCGGUGCAUUAGCUAGUUGGUGAGGUAACGGCUCACCAAGGCCACGAUGCAUAGCCGACCUGAGAGGGUGAUCGGCCACAUUGGGACUGAGACACGGCCCAAACUCCUACGGGAGGCAGCAGUAGGGAAUCUUCGGCAAUGGACGAAAGUCUGACCGAGCAACGCCGCGUGAGUGAAGAAGGUUUUCGGAUCGUAAAACUCUGUUGUUAGAGAAGAACAAGGAUGAGAGUAACUGUUCAUCCCUUGACGGUAUCUAACCAGAAAGCCACGGCUAACUACGUGCCAGCAGCCGCGGUAAUACGUAGGUGGCAAGCGUUGUCCGGAUUUAUUGGGCGUAAAGCGAGCGCAGGCGGUUUCUUAAGUCUGAUGUGAAAGCCCCCGGCUCAACCGGGGAGGGUCAUUGGAAACUGGGAGACUUGAGUGCAGAAGAGGAGAGUGGAAUUCCAUGUGUAGCGGUGAAAUGCGUAGAUAUAUGGAGGAACACCAGUGGCGAAGGCGGCUCUCUGGUCUGUAACUGACGCUGAGGCUCGAAAGCGUGGGGAGCAAACAGGAUUAGAUACCCUGGUAGUCCACGCCGUAAACGAUGAGUGCUAAGUGUUGGAGGGUUUCCGCCCUUCAGUGCUGCAGCUAACGCAUUAAGCACUCCGCCUGGGGAGUACGACCGCAAGGUUGAGACUCAAAGGAAUUGACGGGGGCCCGCACAAGCGGUGGAGCAUGUGGUUUAAUUCGAAGCAACGCGAAGAACCUUACCAGGUCUUGACAUCCUUUGACCACUCUAGAGAUAGAGCUUCCCCUUCGGGGGCAAAGUGACAAGUGGUGCAUGGUUUUCGUCAGCUCGUGUCGUGAGAUGUUGGGUUAAGUCCGGCAACGAGCGCAACCCUUAUUGUUAGUUGCCAUCAUUCAGUUGGGCACUCUAGCAAGACUGCCGGUGACAAACCGGAGGAAGGUGGGGAUGAC
rnacentral:rRNA from 1 species